AAUUCAACACUGAUUUCCAGCGAACGAGCAAGCGACAGACGGGAUGCCAAAAAACUGAUGCGGGUAUCGUCAUUGGGACUGUUGGAGUGGUUACGCUCUGAAUAACAUUGAGAUACGAGGAACAAACGCACGCUGGGAGAGGCCGCCAACAAGCCGAAAAGCUGCGAGCGUUCUCCCCAUCAACUUCCCCAGGGCUGCCCAUGCAGCCUAGAUAGUUAGUGGCAGUAUUGUUCUGACUUCACUCAAGAGUGGCCACUCCGAGAGAGGACGCACACAAAAGGGAAAGGAAAGGAAGGAAGGACUAACGAACACGCUUGUUGUUGAAAGUAAUGGUCCAGCGAUACCAAUACUAGAUCCAAGAAUUAUUUCACUCUUUUUUGUUCUGUCGGUUUGUGUCCCUUUUGUCGCCCUGAGUGAGCGGACUCGCCGGGAGUUUGAGGAACUGAAGCGGGCUUUCCACAUGGUCCAACCACUGGCGUGAAAGUUGACUUCUGCAGAAAACAAGAACAGGUGCCAGUGAUGAUGGUGGAAUCGGCCUCUGAGACCAUUCGAACCGCGCCGUCCAACCAGAACGGAGUCAGCAGCCUCAGCAGCCAAUCAGACGGAGGGGAGGCAGAGAGGGCGGGUCUAAUGGGGACACCAAUGGAGAGAUCAGCCCAGUUGAUCUACUGCACCUGCAACAGCAACAGGCGCUGCAGGCUGCUAGACAGUUCCUCCUCCAGCAGGCCUCUGGACUCAAUUCUCCAAGCAGCAAUGAGGUCAAACAGAGCCAGUGCAGGU